CAACUUUGCAACAAUUAAAUGAAGGACGGAUUGAUUACUCGAUGAACGCGCAAGAUAGUGCGGACGUUCUGGAUUCUUUUUCACCAUAACCCGUGCAUGGAAAUCAAUGAAAUGGUGAACUGAGCGUCCACACCGUGUUAAGAGUCAUUCAAAACUGCCUCAUAUUCGAUAGCCCUUUUUCGGUCAUGAUGAUUUGGCUUUAGCCCUAUUACCAAAGCCAUUUGCAAAUUUAUAGAGCGAUACCGUUACAAAAUGGAAACAAGAACAAUCCUUGGGAAGGCCCCUGCGGCCGCUCUAUGGGAGUUAGGGAUGUAGUCAGUAUUUGGUUGAAUACAUAUUACAACUAGGAUGAUGUGGUACGCACUACAUCGGAGUUACGAGAACUCAAUAAUAGUACUUCUAUGUUUUAGGAUUUUGCAAUGGUGAAACUGUUGAAAUGUGCGAGAGUAUGAGAGGAAGCGAAGGGCAAUGCGCAAUGGGUUUAAACACAUUGAUCAGCAGAGUUUCAUAUGUCCCGAAAAGAUAGUUCAUGGAUCACUGAUGUCACAUGAUGUAUGACCAGAGAAUGGACGUUUGGGUAGCAGUGAUAUACAAUAUGACAGGAAGAAAAAAAAGGGACAUUGUAUAUAUCUAUCUACAAAUCGUAAUGCUCACAUAAAGAUCGAAGGGAGGUAGGGUCCGUAAUCAUAUUUUUUCAACAUCAGUUUCGUUCUCAUCUUCAUUUUGGCUUUCAUCCUCGCCUCCAACUUCACUCUCAUUCCCUUCCAGUUUGUAGAGGUCCGCAUCUUCCAUCUCCACGAGUUUGGCACCAAACUUUUCUUCAAGCCAUUGUUGCACAACCUUAUCAUCCGUCUCUUCAACCAUCCCGGCCCCAGUCCAGAGCUCCUCCCACUCAGCGACCGUAGGCGUCGGCGGUAACUCUUUAAACAGUUUCCUUCCAGCGUCUACACCUUUCAUCCAUUCCUCAACUCCCUUUGGCGCUCCCUCCGGGUGCAACAUGUUCAGUUUAUCGACCAAUUUCGGUUUUGCUCCCAAUAUGUUUUCGAUGGAAUGAUAUUCCUUUACAAACCGAAGCGAGUUUACCGGCCCUAUCUUAGGUAUAUUAUUCGACGCAUCUGUACCGAGCAGCACCAUCCAAUCCACCCACUCAUCCUUCUCUAGCCCAACCGCUUGCCUUACCUCUUCUCCAUCAACGACUUCUAAUGGUUUUCGUGAGCUGGAGACGUUUCUCAGUAGUUUCGCGCUGUAUCCAAGCACAUCACUGUCCUCAGUACCAACAUAAUCAGCUAGACCAGAGAGACAGAGGGAGGAUGCGAGGCCUUCUGCUUCGAAAGGGAUGGAAGCGUGGAGGAUGGGGACACGAAGGAGGUGGAGAAGAUGUUGGCAAUUGAGGUGAUCGGCAGGAGAUGGGAUGUCCAAGGCGCGUUGAUAGAUGGAGAGGACGGAGGGGAGAGUGGCAAUGAGGGCCCUGAGGCGGAUGAGCGCGUUCGACGAAGGGGAGGGCUCCGAUGCUAUUUGAAAGGGAGAGGAAGGCGGGGGUGUGGGGUAAUGGUCGGAUGGGGUUGGUGGAGAUAAAACGAGGUUGAUGAUCUCGCCUUCUUCGCGGGUCAAGUCGAGCUGCCGUCUAGUCUCUGUAAAAUUCUCAAGUGGCACAAGGUCUUCCAGCUUCUCAUCCAACUUUUCUACCCUCUUUUUCCAUUCAUCUAGACCAAGUUCUUGUCGGUUGGCAGUCGUCCAAUGUUUGAGUUCUUCUUCGAGCGGGGUGAGGUCUUGUGAUGGGUCCAAUCCGGGUAAACUUGGGGAUGGUUUGGAUUUGGAGGAGGGAAGAGGUGGACGAUAAGCGUCACGGUAGGCUUGGACGAGGUAGGAGAAUGUAUCAAUCGUAGAGGUUAUG
rnacentral:sRNA from 1 species